UACAGAGGUGGCAAGCGUUGUUCGGAAUUACUGGGCGUAAAGCGCGUGUAGGCGGCUCUUCAAGUCAGGCGUGAAAGCCCCGGGCUCAACUCGGGAACUGCGCUUGAUACUGUCGAGCUAGAGUGUGGAAGGGGCGAUUGGAAUUCCGUGUGUAGCGGUGAAAUGCGUAGAUAUGCGGAGGAACACCGAUGGCGAAGGCAAUCCCCUGGACCUGUACUGACGCUCAUGUACGAAAGCGUGGGGAGCAAACAGG
rnacentral:rRNA from 1 species